CCGGCAAGAUUUUCUGCUGCGUCGAUAGGUGAGAGUUCUUACUAUGCCCGGUGGUGGGAACGUGUUUUGCUGGAAUCGUGGAUGCUUUUUGCUGGAACCGGCAUGUGUUUUUGCUGCUUCCAGCAAACCAAUGGUGUUUUGGUUUUUGGCUGACAUUUUUUUGCGGGGAGGAGGGGGCAUGGUGGUCCGAGCGGACGACAACGACGAGCGAAGGCAGUGACGAAUGGAGAUGCUGCAACCACUGUGGUCGCGAGCUGGAACCGGCUGGCGGGUGAGCUGCAGUCUUAUGAUAGAAGCAUGGGGCGGCCGAGGGACGAGUGCGGUCGGCACGGGUGGCCAGUGAGUAGGAGCGGCAAAACGGCAGCAACGACGGCAGCCGGCGGCGAGGGGAGCUUGCAGUGGUUCGUGAGCAGUGGGAAGGAGAGAAAAAUCAUGGCCGUGGAGUCUCUGCUGAAGGUAGAAGAAAGGAAAAAAGGAGAGGCAGGAAAAAGGAUAAGGAUAGGAAGGGGCGGUUGUGCAAGGCCCACCACAUACACGCGUCUUGCUUGGGGGUUGUUUUCGUGGACGUUGGGGCCAGCGUGGCGCGCGAACCGGCCAAACGUUCGGCCGGUGCCCCGGCCCCAAACGUUUACCUUCUGAAUAUGGGCGACCUAACUACACCGGCCGGCCUCUCAAAUGCCUCCUUAUUAAUCUUAUACUCUGUUCCUAAAUAUAAGUCUUUGUAGAGAUUUCACUAUGGACUACAUACGAAACAAAAUGGAUGAAUCUACACUCUAAAAUGCAUCUACAUACAUCCGUAUGUGGUUCAUAGUGGAAUCUCUAUAAAGACUUAUAUUUAGGGACGGGGGGAAUAGAACGUAUGGGAUAGUGGGAAUUAACUGAAAGUACAUAGUGGAUGGUGGCUUUAGGUAGCAACGCGCUGGUAAAAAACCAUCGGGGGGGAAUACGCCAGCAAGCAAUGCUACGUGAGCCAGGAGAAGAAGAAAAAAAUAACGAAGAGAUGAAGUGACGUGGUUGAAAAUUGCUGAGGUGGCUAGAUGAUUGAUGAUGUGGACGGGCUACAUGUUAAGAGAAUUGAUAGUAGUGGGGAUCAACUUCUUAAGAAUGUAAGAUUUCUAUUGCUUCUUGUGUUCUCUGUAUUGCCAUGAUGUUUGAUGAAUAGAUCGGAAGUUAAUCUUGCAAAAAAAAAUGGUGGAAUAUCUCACCCUACAUCAUCAUGGCAGCAAGAUUCCACACCCCUGCUCUGAGAACGUAUCCUGUGCACCUGACCAACUCGUGCACCAGGUACUCCAGUGGAACAUGAGCCGUUGGACGAAAAACAUAAGGACAGGAUGCGGUGCAAGGGGAUUUACCGGUACAUUUUGCAAAACAGACCUUCAUGUCUACCUAAAUCGAGUCGAAUCAACACCCCAAACCCAGAUCAUCUAUCCCCUUUUCCCCUCUGUACUGUACCGCUGCUCGAGGUCGCCGGCUGAGUUAGGAUUAACUGAAAAAAUUGGGCGAAUCCCUCUCUCCCUCUCCCUCUUCCUCUCCUGUACCUCGUCCUCUUCGGUUUCCAGCGUUCUUUUGUUUUUGCGGGGUGGUUUCCAGCGUUCAAGCACAAGCGCCCAAGAUCCGGAUCACGAUGUCCAGCGGUGGCUCGCUGCCAUUGUGUCUCUGUAGCGAGCUCUGUGGAUCGACGAUACGGCCGCAUAGGAGCGGACCAUCGUCCUUUACAGCUCGAGGAUCCAAGGCCUAUUUGUUGCUGGAUGGCGGUGCUGAAACAGUGAAGUGAUGUAAACAUUGACAUGACCCAUGCCUGAAGUUUGAGAAACCUCAAAUGGACAAUCAGAUAUGAUCUGGACUAGUAUGAGAGGUGAAUUAUCAAUUUCAUCAGCUGCUAUCUUGGAGGCAUAUGAAGAUGACUCCUCUAAAAAUUAUCCAGUCAACAACCAUAUUUCAUCUACAGAACAUAUAAAUGGAUGACGGGUAGAAGAUUAGCACUUGGUAAUUCCUUAGCAACGAUGAUCAGUCAUUUUAGGACAACCAUCAGUCAAUCGCACAACACAUGAAACAAAUUGGCAGCUACUAGCUAGAGCUAGUGUUAUGUGUUCAUAUAUCAUGAUUUUCAAACAGAUUAUGGGAACCUCCAAUAUAUGAGGUUUAAAGGUUUUGCAAACGGAUUAUAACACCGAUAUUCUGCAA